UCCACUGUGCCCCCUAGGCUUGGGUGCCGCCCCCCUAGCCACCCCAGCUCCUAGGAAUGAUUGGAAUUCCAGGAGUAUGAUCCUUAGGUGCCCUGGGCGGCUCAUCCCUGGGAGGUGGGCAGGGUGUGGGGGUGGCCUCUGCACCCUUUGAUCCCUUGUUGAGUCUGCCUUCCCUUGCCUGCUUGGGCCCCUAGACGAGCACUGCCCUCUCUAGCAAACCCAAGGGCAUCCUGCUUGGCACCUGUCCCCCUCCAAGGGUCCAAAGGCAAGGGCCCUACCAGCUGGCACCCCCUGCAGAGGCCCUCCUUCCUGCCGCAGGCAUAAACCUUUCUUUGCCCAGGCUGGCCUGGGACCCAAACAAUGGGGCUUCUGUCCCGCCAGGUCUGCCGUCACCUUUUACCUCCCUAUUGUGCAACGCCCUCUCUUCAACAGGUUGGGCCCAGGCCAGAGGUCUCUACCAGCAAAGAGGAUAAAAGAGACUACACCUGGACAAACCCUCCCAGGCCCAGGCCUGAGCCUCACAUGUGGCCCCGGGGAAGGCAUCAGGGACUCCCUUUGCCCUCCCACUGACCUCCCUGCAAACCUCCCCCAAACCAAGGGGCAUCCUCAGCUGGCCAGACCCUGGGGGAAGGGAGAGAGCCGAGGAUCACCGGCACCUGUGGCUGGGUUACCCCUGCCAUGGACCACUGGGUGAUCAAGAAGUCAUUCCAAAAUGUGAAGCGUUCUGAAGAUAUGCACAUAGCGUAAGAACCUGGUGUAAUGUGCUGGUCAAGGCGGUCUCAGAGAGGAGAUGACGUUUGAGCUGACACCUGAGGGAUGAGAAGAAAGCAGCCAUUCCCAGGGCCCAGGGGAGGCAUCCCAGGAAGCCGGAUCAGCAUGAGCAAAAGCCCUGAGGCCUGGCACAAGUUGGUCUGCUUGAGAAGCAGGAGAGAGCCCUGAGCAUCCGGAGUGCAGCAAGCGAGAUGAGCAAGUCAAGAUGCAGAAGGACUCUCUGGCUUGUCCAAGGUCACACGGCUGUUAGGAGCAGAGCAGCGUCCUGGUGCCCAAGCCCUGAGGUCCCCAGCACACUGCCUCUGCAAUGGCCACAACUGUCCAAAGACUAAGCUGACUCUCACACCUGGUAGUGUCUGUGGUCAUUCACUGUGGAUGGAAGUGGAGAAAUGCAGAAAACAGAAACACAGCUUCCCCUUUUCUGUCAUAUUUCUGUAUCGUUGGUGUUUGGAGCCAGUUGAGCACAAAGGGCCCCUGAGUGCUGUUUCCUUGUGAUAUUUGGGGGUUAACAGCUUCCCCUCAUCUCUUAAUUACCUGCCCUCCUUCACUUCAGCUGCACAUUCGUUAAAGAAUGCUCUCCCAGGAGAAGAGCUUGGUGUUAUCACCCACAAACAUCUUAGAAAACUAAUGCUAUCCUUGAGUGCCUGUUUACAGAAACAUUUUUACAUCUCACUUGACAUUUCCAGCAAAUCUUGAUCCUUCCAGCCAGGAAUAUUAAUAUAUAGGUCUUGAAAAGUGCAAGAGGCUCUUCCAUGGCUCCAAGCACAUUUGACACUCUUCCUUUUCUGAUCCCCAAGCAGACAGUGAUGAAACCCCAAUAGCUGGGCGAAUACUCAUCCAACAGGAAGAAUCAGUUUUAAGAGCUGGGUUCUCAGGGUCAAAUACUGUGGUGUGGCCUUUUGGUUGUAAUGAGUUGAAUGGAGGUCUCAAAAAAGAUAUAUCCAUGUUCUAAUCCCCAGAACUUGUGAAUGUGACCUUAUUUGGAAAAAGAGUCCUUUUGGAUGUAAUUAAGUUAAGGAUUUUGAGAUAAGGAGAUCAUCCUGGGUUAUCUGGGUGGACCCUAAAUCUGUUGACAAUGUCCUUAUGAGAGACCCCAGAGGGCACAGACAGGAAAGGAAGAGGCAAUGUGGCCCCAGAGGCUGAGAUCAGAGCUCUGUGGCCACAAUUCGAGGAACACCUGGAGCCACCAGAAGCUGGAGGAGGCAAGGAACAGAUUCUCCCUGAUCCUCUGGAUACAGAGGGAGAAUAGCCUGGCCGACACCUUGAUUUUGGACUUCUGGCCCCCAGAACUGAGAAAAUUAACUUCUGUUGUGUUAAGCAGCCACGUUUGUAGCAGUUCAUCAUAGCAGCCCUGGGAAAGAAAUACAGUGGGCUUCCAGUUCAAGGAGGAUCCACGAGGCCUGAGCUCCAUCUGUCGAUUGGAAUCACCAAAAUCAAGGUUGUGUGCGGGUAACGCCAGCACAAGCAGCUCAUGCUGGCAAAAGCAGACCAAACCGGCUCACGCAACGUCAAGUCAUCUUGAAGUGGUUCACGCACCACAGAGCAGACCUGCAGAGGGGCCAGAAGACACCUGGCCGGGUGGGGAGCAGCCCCUCCGUAAUAACAAUCGGAACCUGGGAAGAUAAGUAGAGUCCCAGGGGAGGGACAGAGUUUCCCCUGUGUCACCACAUGGCUACUUUGACACAAAUGCACGUGGGCAGAGAGAGGCAUGCAGGUCAAGGGCCUGGCAGGGAGUCAGGGGCCCUCAGUGCCAGUCCUGGCUCUGCCUCUGCCUCUGACACGCCAUGUGACCUUGAGCAAGUCACCACCCUGUCUGGGCUUCGCUAACCCAUAUACGGAAUGAGAAGGUAUCGUCCCUGGUCACUGCAGGUUUUAAAUCAUGUAGUGAGAGAGAGCUCAUUUGGUCCAACUCUCUGCAACUGAAGGAAUGGAGACACCAAGGGGGAGUAAUCGGCCGCAGUGAUGAGUGGGUGGCAAAGGGAGCUAUCACUACCAUUGAUUAUCCAGCUACUUGUGCUUGAUAAACUCCCUCCUGGUGGAAUGGGCUUUCCCACAUCCAGCAGCACAAAUGCUGUGAGCAUCUACUACGGGCUGGGCACCUUCUCUGGGCUGGCACUUGACAUGGGUUAUCUCAUUUAACUCCCUAACAACCCUAUGUGGUAUUAUCAUCCCCAUUUCACAGGCGGCAAAACUGAAUCCCAGAGAGAAGACUCACUCAGACACAGCUAUCUGAACACUCUUUUCCAGUUCCCCUAGGGCAGCAGAGGAAGCAAGGUGGGGGGAAGCCAGUGGUCAAGGAUUCCAUGCGGAAUGUACCCUAGAAUUAACCCAUGGAGAGAGGGUAAGGGAACGGGCUCAGGCCUGGGAAGAAGUGGGGAGGACAGUGUCCUGUUGACCUAUUCAAAAACAUCCAGUUUUAGUUAAUUUUUAGUUCAUUAGUCACCACUUUUUAUUAGUAUCUCAUGUAUUCUUUCACAGUUUCUUUCUGCAGGUACAAAAAUAAUGAUUUUUUUUCUUUCUUUUUCUUCUUUGAGACAGGGUCUCGCUCUGUUGCCCAGGCUGUAGUACAAUGGUGCAAUCUCGGCUCACUGCAACCUCUGCCUCUGGGUUCAAGCGAUCCUUUGCCUCCGCCUCCUGAGUAGCUGGAAUUACAGGCUUCCAGGAGGGGCCUCCCUGGGCUCCCGGAGGACACCCACAGUCCUCACCAUGCAGCUCCCUCCAACAUCAAGCCAGGAAUGGCCGAACAGAUCUUUCUCAUGCUUCAAAUCUCUGAUGAAUUUCUCUUGCCAGAGAAAGCUUGCCAUUUUCCAAGGGCUCACCCAGUCAGAUCCGUCCAACAAGGGUGAUCUCCCUAACAUUAGGUUAACUGACUUGGAACCUCAGUUAAUCUGCAAAAUCCCUUUUGUCAUAUAAUGGAAUACAAUCAUUUGGUUCACAUGCUCAUCUUAUUCACAGGCCCUACACUCAUACAAGGGCAGGGGACCACAGAAGAGUGAAGGCCAGUGAGGGUCACCUCAGAAUUCUGCCCAACACCGGUGUUUUGUAAUUUGGGUAGAUGUUGCCAUGUUGUCCUCCGUGGGGAUUAUGCAGAGGGAACUCUCCUCCUCCAGCAACAGUACAUGUACCUGCUUUUCCAUGGUGCUGCUUAGAGAAUGUUAUCAAACCUUUGGAUUUCUGCCAGUCUGAUAGGAGAAAAAUGGAAUCUCAAUUGUAUUUUAAAAUUGUAAUUAUCGCCUUAUGAAUAAGGCUGAGCAUUUCCUCAAAAGCAUAAGAGCCAUUUAUAUACUUUUUUCUUUAUGGCUUCUGGUUUUGAGGCAUAGAAAGGUCUUUCUAGCUCUAAAGUUAAUCAGAAAUUCUCUGUUUUCUUUUUGCUUUUUUUAAAAUUUUACUUUAAGUCCUUGGAUACAUGUGCUGAACGUGCAGGUUUGUUACAUAGGUAUACAUGGGCCAUGGUGGUUUGCUGCACCUAUCAACCCGUCAUCUAGGUUUUAAGCUCCACAUGCAUUAGGUAUUUGUCCUAAUGCUCUUCCUCCUCUUUCCCCAUGCCCCCAACAGGCCCCGGUGUGUGAUGUUCCCCUCCCUGUGUCCAUGUGUUCUCAUUGUUUAGCUCCCACUUAUGAGUGAGAACAUGCAGUGUUUGGUUUUCUGUUCCUGUGUUAGUUUGCUGAGGAUGAUGGUUUUCAGCUUCAUCCAGGUCCCUGCAAAGGACAUGAACUCAUUCUUUUUUAUGGCUGCAUAGUAUUCCAAGUUGCAUAUGUGCCACAUUUUCUUUAUCCAGUGUAUCAUUGAUGGGCUUUUGGGUUGCUUCCAAGUCUUUGCUAUCGUAAGUAGUGCUGCAAUAAACAAAUGUAUGCAUGUGUCUUUAUAGUAGAAUGAUUUAUAAUCCUUUGGGUAUAUACCCAGUAAUGGGAUUGCUGGGUCAAAUGGUAUUUCUAGUUCUAGAUCCUCGAGGAGUCGCCACACUGUCUUCCACAAUGGUUGAGCUAAUUUACACUCCCACCAACAGUGUAAACGUGUUCCUAUUUCUCCACAUCCUCACCAGCAUUUGUUAUUUCCAGACUUUUUAAUGAUUGCCAUUCUAACUGGCAUGAGAUGGUAUCUCCUUGUGGUUUUGAUUUGCAUUUCUCAGCUCAUUGCAACCUCUGCCUCCCAGGUUCAAGCAAUUCUCCUGCCUCAGCCUCCAGAGUAGCUGGGAUUACAGGGGCACGCCACCAAGCCCAGCUAAUUUUUGUAUUUUUAGCAGAAACAGGGCUUCACCAUGUUGGCCAGUCUGGUCUCAAACUCCUGAUCUCAAGUGAUCCAUCCACCUCAGCCUCCCAAAGUGCUGGGAUUAUAGGCGUGAGCCACCACGGCUGGCCAUUCUCCUGUGUUUUCUUCUGGGGCUUUUAUACUUUCAUUUUUUAAAAUCCAUAGUUUCUUGGAGCUGGAGGUGUCCCUUGUCAUUUUCUCAUCAGUGAGUGCAAAGCAGGAUCCCAAAAGGAUUGGAGUCCAGAGUAGAGAAAGGAGCUGCCGCGGUGGAGUCUGUUCAGUGCAGGCUCUGAUCUCCUUCAGCCCUGCCAGGAAUCCCAGCCAGCAGAUCUUCUUCCAGCUUCCCUUUCUCCAGCACUCUUGAUCUUCUGGGCUGGCACAGGGUCCAGGGUUGAUGGGGAUCCUAGCUGCCUGAGGAGCUUCCAGUCUGGAGGGUGAUACAAGCACAUGGCCAGACCUGAAUUCAAGCCAUGAGAGAGAUUCAGAACCUGGGCUGGGAGCGCAGGGGAGGGAGCGGGGUGCUGAUGGGGGUGGAUGGGAGGCUCCAGAGAGGAGGUGGCGUCUGAACUGAACCUUAAGAAUGAGGGGAAAUGUAAUGGCAGCGAUGAGAAAGGGGAGGCACUUCAGUGCAGAGAACAGCAAGAGCAAAGACAAGGAGGUGGAAAAUCAGCCAGAAACCUAGCCUGGAGAGGGUUUAGUGGACCAUGGGUCCUUGAUGGUAGAGACACAACAUGACUUAUCUCUGUGUCCCAUCCUCUGUGCCAGAGGCGGCAUCGACCAGACUUGGACAAAUGAAGCAGAAGGGACAGGGGACUUAGAAUACUAGGCUGCAUCAUUUUCUUUUUACUCUGACAGUGAGAAGCAAAGACCUCCACAAAGAAAGAAGCCCUUGGCUGUGUCAUCAUUUUAGAAUCUGGGCACUCUCUGCACACCACUGCCCCCUCAUGGCUGAUCUAGGAAUUCUCUCUAAAUCCCAGACUGAAGGUGAGGAGGAGGCUCAGUGAGUCUUAGAGAUUUGAAAAGCCGUGAAAUCCUGGUUGGAGAACAUCUGAGUCCAAAGGGCCCUCAGAGACUCUCUGACUUCCUCAUUA
rnacentral:lncRNA from 10 species